rnacentral:rRNA from 1 species
UAAUACAUGCAAGUCGAACGCUUUGUGGUUCAACUGAUUUGAAGAGCUUGCUCAGAUAUGACGAUGGACAUUGCAAAGAGUGGCGAACGGGUGAGUAACACGUGGGAAACCUACCUCUUAGCAGGGGAUAACAUUUGGAAACAGAUGCUAAUACCGUAUAACAAUAGCAACCGCAUGGUUGCUACUUAAAAGAUGGUUCUGCUAUCACUAAGAGAUGGUCCCGCGGUGCAUUAGUUAGUUGGUGAGGUAAUGGCUCACCAAGACGAUGAUGCAUAGCCGAGUUGAGAGACUGAUCGGCCACAAUGGGACUGAGACACGGCCCAUACUCCUACGGGAGGCAGCAGUAGGGAAUCUUCCACAAUGGGCGAAAGCCUGAUGGAGCAACGCCGCGUGUGUGAUGAAGGGUUUCGGCUCGUAAAAC